UACAGAGGUCCCAAGCGUUGUUCGGAUUCAUUGGGCGUAAAGGGUGCGUAGGCGGCGCGGUAAGUCGGGUGUGAAAUCUUGGAGCUUAACCUCCCGAAACUGCAUUCGAUACUGCCGUGCUUGAGGACGUGGAGAGGAGACUGGAAUUUACGGUGGUAGCAGUGAAAUGCGUAGAUAUCGUAAGGAAGACCAGUGGCGAAGGCGGGUCUCUGGACAGUUCCUGACACUGAGGCACGAAAGGCCAGGGGAGGCAAACGGG
rnacentral:rRNA from 1 species